UGGGGAAUAUUGCACAAUGGAGGGAACUCUGAUGCAGCGACGCCGCGUGAACGAAGAAGGCUUUCGAGUCGUAAAGUUCUUUUAUAUGGGAAGAUAAUGACGGUACCAUAAGAAAAAGCCCCGGCUAACUACGUGCCAGCAGCCGCGGUAAUACGUAGGGGGCUAGCGUUGUCCGGAAUCACUGGGCGUAAAGGGUUCGCAGGCGGAAAUGCAAGUCAGGUGUAAAAGGCAGUAGCUUAACUACUGUAAGCAUUUGAAACUGCAUAUCUUGAGAAGAGUAGAGGUAAGUGGAAUUUUUAGUGUAGCGGUGAAAUGCGUAGAUAUUAAAAAAAAUACCGGUGGCGAAGGCGACUUACUGGGCUCAUUCUGACGCUGAGGAACGAAAGCGUGGGUAGCAAACAGG
rnacentral:rRNA from 1 species